AUUGAACGCUGGCGGCAGGCUUAACACAUGCAAGUCGAACGAGUGGCGGAAGGGUGAGUAAUGCGUGGGACUCUAGUUUAUGGAGGGGGAUAACUACGGGAAACUGUAGCAAAUACCGCGUACCAAAGGAUGAGCCCACGUCGGAUUAGGUAGUGGGUGAGGGAAAGGCUCACCAAGCCGACGAUCCCUAGCUGGUCUGAGAUGACUACCAUUCACACAUGGACUGGGAAAGGGCCCAGGCUCCUACGGGAUGAAGCUGUUGGGAAUAUUGCGCAAUGGGGGCAACCUGACACAGCCAUGCCGCGGGAAUGAAGAAGGCCUUCGUGUUGAAAGGUUCUUUCGGUGGCUAGGCGUGAACUACAGAAGAAGCACCGGCUAACUCCGUGCCAGCAGCCUCGGUAAUAC
rnacentral:rRNA from 1 species